GUGAAAGUUUCCAAGGGCGCAUGGUGGAUGCCUUGGCAACAGGAGCCGAAGAAGGACGUGGGAAUCUGCGAUAAGCCUGGUGGAGUCGAUAACCGGACGUUGAGACCAGGAUUUCCGAAUGGGGAAACCCCGCACGACGUGUCGUGUGACCCCCGGUUGAACACAUAGACCGGGUGGAGGGAACGUGGGGAAGUGAAACAUCUCAGUACCCACAGGAAGAGAAAACAAAAGUGAUUCCGUUAGUAGUGGCGAGCGAACGCGGAUGGGGCUAAACCGUAUGUGUGUGAUACCCGGCAGGGGUUGCAUGUGCGGUGUUGUGGGCCCCUCCUUGUCAUGUCUGCCGGCAUGGCGCAGUGAGGUGCGGGCAUAUAGACGAACCAGUGUGGAUGCUGGACCGUAGAGGGUGAGAGUCCCGUAGUCGAAAUGUGUUCCGCCGCUGUUGGGGGGUUGCCCGAGUAGCACGGGGCCCGAGGAAUCCCGUGUGAAUCUGCCAGGACCACCUGGUAAGCCUGAAUACUACCUGUUGACCGAUAGCGGAUCAGUACCGUGAGGGAAUGGUGAAAAGUACCCCGGGAGGGGAGUGAAAUAGUACCUGAAACCAUGUGCCUACAAACCGUUGGAGCCUUCUUGUGGGGUGACAGCGUGCCUUUUGAAGAAUGAGCCUGCGAGUUAGUGAUACGUGGCGAGGUUAACCCGUGUGGGGAAGCCGUAGCGAAAGCGAGUCUGAAUAGGGCGAUUGAGUCGCGUGUCCUAGACCCGAAGCGGAGUGAUCUACCCAUGGCCAGGUUGAAGCGCGUGUAAGAGCGCGUGGAGGACCGAACCCACUUCAGUUGAAAAUGGAGGGGAUGAGCUGUGGGUAGGGGUGAAAGGCCAAUCAAACUCCGUGAUAGCUGGUUCUCCCCGAAAUGCAUUUAGGUGCAGCGUCACGUGUUUCUUCCCGGAGGUAGAGCUACUGGAUGGACGAUGGGCCCUACAAGGUUACUGACUUCAGCCAAACUCCGAAUGCCGGGAAGUGAGAGCGUGGCAGUGAGACUGUGGGGGAUAAGCUUCAUAGUCGAGAGGGAAACAGCCCAGACCACCGGUUAAGGCCCCUAAGCGUGUGCUAAGUGGGAAAGGAUGUGGAGUUGCUGAGACAACCAGGAGGUUGGCUUAGAAGCAGCCACCCUUGAAAGAGUGCGUAAUAGCUCACUGGUCAAGUGAUUCCGCGCCGACAAUGUAGCGGGGCUCAAGUACACCGCCGAAACCGUGGCAUUCAGUUUUGCUGGAUGGGUAGGGGAGCGUCGUUCACGAGGUGAAGCCAGCGGGUAACUUCUGGUGGAUUGUGGACGAGUGAGAAUGCAGGCAUGAGUAGCGAAAGACGGGUGAGAAACCCGUCCGCCGGAUGACUAAGGGUUCCAGGGUCAAGCUAAUCUGCCCUGGGUAAGUCGGGACCUAAGGCGAGGCCGACAGGCGUAGUCGAUGGACAACGGGUUGAUAUUCCCGUACCAGUGAAGAACCGUCCAUGUUGAGCCGGUGAUACUAACCGCCCGAACCAUCCCGAACCCCGUCUUUGACGGGG
rnacentral:rRNA from 1 species